rnacentral:rRNA from 1 species
GAUGAACGCUGGCGGCGUGCCUAAUACAUGCAAGUCGAGCGAACAGAUGAGGAGCUUGCUCCUCUGACGUUAGCGGCGGACGGGUGUGUAACACGUGGAUAACCUACCUAUAAGACUGGGAUAACUUCGGGAAACCGGAGCUAAUACCGGAUAAUAUAUUGAACCGCAUGGUUCAAUAGUGAAAGACGGUUUUGCUGUCACUUAUAGAUGGAUCCGCGCCGCAUUAGCUAGUUGGUAAGGUAACGGCUUACCAAGGCGACGAUGCGUAGCCGACCUGAGAGGGUGAUCGGCCACACUGGAACUGAGACACGGUCCAGACUCCUACGGGAGGCAGCAGUAGGGAAUCUUCCGCAAUGGGCGAAAGCCUGACGGAGCAACGCCGCGUGAGUGAUGAAGGUCUUCGGAUCGUAAAACUCUGUUAUUAGGGAAGAACAAAUGUGUAAGUAACUAUGCACGUCUUGACGGUACCUAAUCAGAAAGCCACGGCUAACUACGUG